UGCAAUCUGUAGAAUACUGUAAAACAUGUGCAAGUCUUAUGCAACUUGGUUAUUUUAAACAUGAUCAUCAAGGUAUGAAAGUGUAAGGAUGUCAAAAAAAAGUUUUAAAAUGUAAACUUUUAGGCUGGUCUGCCUCAGUGGUCCAACAGCGCUUGUCAAUGUCAAAAUGAUCGAGAUGGCCAAUCAAAUCAAAAGGGCGGGUCUUACUGUCACUGUCACAAUGCAACAAGAGUUCAUGGAAAGAUCUGUUCGGACUCUCAUUCUGAUGGCACCUAUUCAUUGCAAAGGAUCCAUUGGUGAGCAAGUGAUGUAAUGCAAAAUUUCUCUGCAAAAAAAAAGUCUGUUCCAAUGAAUAAACAAACUGCAUCUUAGACAGCCUGAGGGUGAAUGAGGGCUCCAGCUGUGAGACGUACUCUGCUAAUCUCAGAUUCAGGGAUGCCACGGAGACGGGCGUACAGGUACAGGUGCUCCCUCCCAGUCAGAAGCUCAUCUAUGGCAUCAAACUGAGGACAGUAGCCCAUAUUCUG